GAUUAAGUUGCUAAAUGAAGAAAACACUUCAAUCCGCAUUUACAAUCUGCUAUAGACUAGAUCACAUAUCAACUAGAGUUGCUAGAGAAAAACAAUUCAGUCAGCAUGUUAAUUAACUGGACACACAAAACAAUGUUGGCUUUUGAGAUGUAUACGCUCCAAACAUCCAUUGAUCACUUGCAUCAAGUUGUCGAUCCAAGUCUUGAGAGGACCAUCUGAGCUCACAUCAUGAGGCUGAAAAAAAUGGUUACAAGGUUAGCACUUCGCUUAAAUACCAAAAGAAUUUUUUGCAGCAUACAUAAGAACACUAGUAGCACAGCAAGAGAGAAGCAUGGCAUACAUAUAUAUAGGCCUUGAUUAGAACGAGUAUAGUUGGAUGAUAAAGUACAUUAUUGAAGCUUGAUGAAACAACAUGGUCAAGCGUGCAGCAGUAAUCCAAUUAAUAAAUUGCAAGUAGAAACAAUGUAAAAGUAACGAAAGCAAAGCAAAAGCAAGGACUACAGAGCAUCCCUACAAGUAAACAAUCAUAGUAAACUGUUAAAUUGUUGGAGUGUGAAACAAUACCAGACAACUUUUUGUUGGAAACGAAACACUUGCAGUGAAGGUUGCAUAAGUUAUAUCGAUUCAAGGUGCAGUCAUACAGAUUAAAUGGGCGCCAAUAAGAAACAAACCUGAGUAACAAACAAAGUCGCCAACACACCAAGUAAAGUGGCAGGUUCCUUCCC
rnacentral:lncRNA from 1 species